rnacentral:rRNA from 1 species
AACGUGUCGCGAUGGAUGACUUGGCUUCCUAUUUCUUUGAAAAACGCACUAAAGUGCGAUAAGUGGUAU